AAGUCGUAACAAGGUAACCGUAGGUGAACCUGCGGUUGGAUCAUUACUGAAUAAUCAAUCGUUGUUGGUCUUUUCGACCGCAGCGUUUGAUAUUACACCCCUUAUGUGAACUGUUUACUGUAUUUUGGCAGCCCUCCAACGGCUGAGCCACUCGACUAAUAAUCGAAGGGCACAGUUUGGGCUGCCAGCCUUAUAAUCAUACUACAUAUACUAUAUAUUAUCUUGAGUCUCCAAGCGAUUCUUUCUUUGAAGAAACGCGUUUUUAAAUAAAAAACAACUUUUGACAACGGAUCUCUUGGC
rnacentral:misc_RNA from 1 species